rnacentral:rRNA from 1 species
GACGGAGGAUGCAAGCGUUUAUCCGGAAUGAUUGGGCGUAAAGCGUCCGCAGGUGGCAGUUCAAGUCUGCUGUCAAAGACCGGGGCUUAACUUCGGAAAGGCAGUGGAAACUGAACAGCUAGAGUAUGGUAGGGGCAGAGGGAAUUCCUGGUGUAGCGGUGAAAUGCGUAGAGAUCAGGAAGAACAUCGGUGGCGAAGGCGCUCUGCUGGACCAUAACUGACACUCAGGGACGAAAGCUAGGGGAGCGAAAUGGG